rnacentral:rRNA from 1 species
UACAGAGGGGGCAAGCGUUGUUCGGAAUUACUGGGCGUAAAGGGCGCGUAGGCGGCCCGCUAAGUCGAACGUGAAAUCCCCGGGCUCAACCCGGGAACUGCGUCCGAUACUGGCAGGCUUGAAUUCGGGAGAGGGAUGCGGAAUUCCAGGUGUAGCGGUGAAAUGCGUAGAUAUCUGGAGGAACACCGGUGGCGAAGGCGGCAUCCUGGACCGAUAUUGACGCUGAUGCGCGAAAGCCAGGGGAGCAAACGGG